UACGUAGGCAGCGAGCGUUGUUCGGAAUUACUGGGCGUAAAGAGUGUGUAGGCGGUGUUCCCAGUCUGUUGUGAAAUCUCCCGGCUUAACUGGGAGGGUGCAGCGGAAACUAGAAUGCUAGAGGGUGGGAGAGGUAAGCGGAAUUCCUGGUGUAGCGGUGAAAUGCGUAGAUAUCAGGAGGAACACCUGUGGUGUAGACAGCUUACUGGACCAUGACUGACGCUGAGACACGAAAGCUAAGGUAGCAAACAGG
rnacentral:rRNA from 1 species